rnacentral:misc_RNA from 1 species
GAUGAAGAACGUAGCAAAAUGCGAUAAGUAAUGUGAAUUGCAGAAUUCAGUGAAUCAUCGAAUCUUUGAACGCACAUUGCGCCCGCUGGUAUUCCGGCGGGCAUGCCUGUUCGAGCGUCAUUUCAACCCUCAAGCCACCGGGUUUGGUGUUGGGGAUCGGCUCUGCCCUUCUGGGCGGUGCCGCCCCCGAAAUACAUUGGCGGUCUCGCUGCAGCCUCCAUUGCGUAGUAGCUAACACCUCGCAACUGGAACGCGGCGCGGCCAUGCCGUAAAACCCCAACUUCUGAAUGUUGACCUCGGAUCAGGUAGGAAUACCCGCUGAACUUAAGCAUAUCAAUAAGCGGAGGA